rnacentral:rRNA from 1 species
UACAGAGGUCUCAAGCGUUGUUCGGAUUCAUUGGGCGUAAAGGGCGCGUAGGCGGCAAGGCAAGUCGGGUGUGAAAGCUUGGGGCUUAACCCCGAAAGGGCACUCGAAACUGCCCUGCUAGAGGGCCGGAGAGGAGAUCGGAAUUCACGGUGUAGCAGUGAAAUGCGUAGAGCUCGUGAGGAAGACCGGUGGCGAAGGCGGAUCUCUGGACGGCCCCUGACGCUGAGGCGGCGAAAGGCUAGGGGAGCAAACGGG